rnacentral:rRNA from 1 species
GAUGAACGCUGGCGGCGUGCCUAAUACAUGCAAGUCGAGCGAACAGACGAGGAGCUUGCUCCUCUGACGUUAGCGGCGGACGGGUGAGUAACACGUGGAUAACCUACCUAUAAGACUGGGAUAACUUCGGGAACCCGGAGCUAAUACCGGAUAAUAUAUUGAACCGCAUGGUUCAAUCGUGAAAGGCAGUUUUGCUGUCACUUAUAGAUGAUUCCGCGACGCAUUAGCUAGUUGGUAAGGUAACGGCUUACCAAGGCGACGAUGCGUAGCCGACCUGAGAGGGUGAUCGUCCACACUGGAACUGAGACACGGUCCAGACUCCUACGGGAGGCAGCAGUAGGGAAUCUUCCGCAAUGGGCGAAAGCCUGACGGAGCAACGCCGCGGGAGUGAGGAAGGUCUUCGGAUCGUAAAACUCUGUUAUUAGGGAAGAACAAAUGUGUAAGUAACUAUGCACGUCUUGACGGUACCUAAUCAGAAAGCCACGGCUAACUACGUG